UUUUUCUGAAAUGCAUGCAUGUGUGUGUAUUUAUAUAAACAUAAUAUAUAUAAACAGCAUACAUAUAUUAUGUCAUGACAUACAUUUGUUUUUUAUUUACUAGCACCAUCUUGUGGCAGUUUAAUGUUAUAACAAAGAAAUUGAUUAUUGUAAACCAUUUUCUUAGUGGUUGGUUUAGGUCAUGUGACUCUUGGGUUAGAGGUUAACCAGGAAAUAGCCACUGUAUUCUAGUUUUCUUUCUGUGUGGUGGGCCAACAAGUCAUCUCUCUGUUUUCUUUACAUUUUGUGCCUCAGAAAGGCUUUGCCUGUAAGUUUGUUAUCUUUUUUGCAGUGUUUGCAUGAAUGUGUAUAUAAAUAUUUGUAAUUCAUUAGUUUGAGUUUAAAAAACGAACUAUUCAACAGUGAUGGCAAUUUGUUUAUAAUUACACUAAGAAGAACUGAUUGUAGCCUUUUAAUAUGUGCUCAGAGAAUAUUUGUAAACAGCGGAAAUUCAUUUGUGUUUAUUUUGAGAAUAUUUUGUAACAAGACAUUUGUAAUCUUUGUAUAUUUCAGUUUUACAAAAAAGAGAAAGAAGAGGAAAGAACAAAACAGUAAAACUUUCAACUUUACUACUGCGUCUGCCCUUUUCUGACUCCUGUUAGCUAUCUGUCAAUGUUGCGUAGAUGGAACACGCAUCUAGGACAGAAUAGUAAAAAGGCAACCGCUCAGUAGGUACUGAAGUUCAAGGAAAGCAAGCUUCAACUCCAUCAUUCCUCGUUCAUCAUCACGCCCUGUACUCCUAGACAGUAUUAGCAAUUCAUGAUGGCGGAGAAAUCUACGGAGGCUGAGAAAGCUAUGGAGGCUGGGGAAGCUACAGAGCGAAGUCAAGCAUUUGAAACAAGAUCUAUAGCUUCUGCUUCGACUAAUAGAUCUAGAAGCUCAUCGGCUAGCGCAGCUGCUGCCAAGGCUCGCGCUAAACUGGAAGCUGCACGGGCCAGGACUGAAUUCCUUAAAAAAGAAUCAGAAAUCUUGAUUGAGAAAGCUCAACUGAAAGUUACAGAGGCAUGCAUGGAAGCGUCACUGGCAGCUAUAAAGCAUGAAAGUGAGGUGGCAGCAGCCAUUGCGGAGACGAAGGUUUUGGAGGCAGCAGCAGAUAGUGAACUUGGAGAAAGGAUUUCCGAUGUGAAAGAAGUUUCUGAUCGCACUCGUGAUUACGUCAUGAAUCAGUCUCAACUGAGGUUAUUGUCUCCGGCUGGAGAUGAGCCAUGUCAACUACCUCUAAAGCCCAUUGUCCAUGUGUUGAGGCCUGAGACACCUCCAAGGCAUCAUCGCUUAGCAUCUUGGGAUGUCAGAGAUUCUAACAAUAAACCUGAUACUGAGAGUAUAACGCAGCAUCCUCAGAAGUCAGUGCAAACAACUAGUCAAAAAUACCAAAUUCCACCGUUCACUUCUUCUCCAUAUAAGACAACACCACAACCAUCGUUCAACAACGACACUAAUGUGAGUGAGGUCGCCAGGUACUUAGCACGCCGAGAGCUUGUUAAUUCAGGGCUCUUCAAGUUUGACGAUCGUCCCGAGAAUUAUUGGGCGUGGAAGUCCUCUUUCAUCAACGCAAUUGAAGGUUUGCACCUAUCAGCUGCUGAGCAGUUAGACCUUCUGUCUAAAUGGUUGGGAGAACAGUCUUCACAACAUGUGCGAAGGAUCAGAGCUGUGCACACAGGUAAUCCAAACGCAGGCUUGGGAAAAGCAUGGGAGCGCUUGGAAGAUUGCUAUGGCUCUCCAGAGAUUAUUGAGAAAUCCCUCUUUGACAGGAUUGAUAGCUUUCCAAAAAUCAGCAACAAAGAUGCGAAAAAGCUUAGAGAACUUGGAGAUCUUCUACAGGAAGUGGAGUCUGCGAAACAUGAAGGCUACCUACCCGGACUUACUUAUCUUGACACCGCACGUGGUGUUGCUCCCAUCGUAGAUAAGUUACCUUACAGUCUUCAGGAGAGGUGGAUGGCUCAAGGUUCUCAGUACAAAUCAGCACAUCAAGUCGCCUUUCCUCCAUUCUCAUUCUUCUGUGAUUUCAUCAGCAGAGAGGCUCGAACACGCAACGAUCCAAGUUUUGCUCUGUCUUCAGGAAUCCAUAGUGUGUUGAAACCAGAGCAGCAAUUCAAGAGACAAAUGAAAAGCUCAGUCUACACUCACAAGACGGAAGUGUCAGCAGCGACUGUGAGUCAGACACACAGCUCAAACUAUGAGUUGGAUGAUGUGAAUAAGGUCUGCCCGAUUCAUAAGAAGCCCCACCCUCUCAAUCGUUGCAGAGGUUUUAGGAUCAAACCUCUGGAUGAGCGCAAGACUUUUCUAAAGGAGAAAGGUGUUUGCUACAGGUGCUGUGCAACAACCACUCAUCUGGCCAGGGACUGUAAGGCAGCUAUUAAAUGUAAGGAAUGUGGCAGUGAUGCUCAUAUCGCAGCGCUUCAUCCAGGACCACCGCCUUCAAACUUAUUUGAUCAUGGCGGGGAGGGAGAGAAAGACACGCCUCAACCUGCUAUAACUUCCAAGUGUACAGAAGUCUGUGGUUACGGUGAAUGUUCACGGUCAUGCUCUAAGAUUUGCCUGGCUAAGGUUUACCCAGAAGGCCACCCAGAAGGAGCAAUCAAGCUUUAUGUGAUCCUGGAUGAUCAGAGCAAUAGAUCGCUCGCUAGAACCAAGUUCUUCGACUUGCUGCAUGUCAAAGGAGAGAACUCAACAUAUACUCUACGUACCUGUGCAGGUGUGACAGAGACUGCGGGAAGAAGAGCUACUGGUUUCAUUAUAGAGUCUUUAGAUGGAGUAAUGAAGGUGAAAUUGCCAACAUUGAUCGAAUGCAACAAUAUGCCAGACGAUAGGGCCGAGAUACCAACACCUGAUGCAGCACGUUGGCACACUCACCUAAAGCCCAUCGCGAAUUGCAUUCCUCCUUUGGAUCCAGAAGCCCAAAUUCUUCUCCUUUUGGGUCGUGACAUCCUUCAGGUUCAUAAAGUACGGGAGCAACGUAAUGGUCCUAAUAACGCACCCUACGCACAAAGACUAGACCUAGGAUGGGUCGUAGUCGGAGACGUCUGCUUAGGAUCUGUCCACAGGUCUGCAGCACUUAGUGCUUACCGUACCCAUGUACUUGAUAAUGGACGUCCUUCUCUACUUCCUCCAUGUCCCAACAAACUCAGUGUUAGGGAGAAGUUUGACAUCAAGCCUCCGCCUGAGAUAUCUCUGGCGCACGGCACCUUCAUCUUUGAUGACUAUGCCAUAGGAGAUACCAUCUUUGAGAGGACAAAGGAGGAUAAUAAAGUUGGAUUGUCUAUUGAAGACAGGCGUUUUUUGGACAUCAUGGAUAAAGAGAUGUUCAUGGACGAGAGCAAUAGUUGGGUUGCACCACUCCCAUUCAGAACACCUCGCCAACGACUCCCUAAUAAUAGAGAACAGGCAUUUACACGCCUAACUUCCCUUUUGCGCACACUGGAAAAGAAGCCUGAGAUGAAGUCUCAUUUUGUUACCUUCAUGCAGAACAUCUUUGAUCGUGACCAUGCCGAAGUAGCCCCUCCUCUUCGAGAAGGCCAGGAAUGUUGGUAUUUACCUACCUUUGGGGUGUACCACCCACAGAAGCCUGAUCAGAUCAGAGUUGUCUUCGACUCCAGCGCGCAAAAACAGGGCAUCUCCUUGAACGAUGUUCUUCUCUCUGGUCCUGACUUAAAUAAUAGCCUCUUGGGAGUCUUACUACGUUUUAGAAGGGAGCUGGUAGCUGUAACUGCAGACAUCGAACAGAUGUUUCACAGCUUCAUUGUGAAAGAGGAAGAUAGAGACUUCCUUCGUUUUCUCUGGUUCAAGGAUAAUGACACCAGCAAAGGGAUUAUUGAAUACCGCAUGAAGGUGCACGUGUUCGGUAAUAGUCCAUCUCCUGCUGUAGCCAUUUAUGGUCUUCGACGAGCAGCGGCUUAUGGUGAGGAGGAAUAUGGUUCAGAUGCCAGACACUUUGUAGAGAGAGAAUUCUACGUCGAUGAUGGACUUUUGUCAACACCCACAGCUGCCGGAACAAUCGAUCUGUUGACACGAACAAAGAAAAUGCUGGCAACUUCAAAUUUAAAAUUGCACAAGUUUGCUUCUAAUAGCAAGGAAGUAAUGAAUGCAUUUCCGACUGAAGAUCAUGCAAAGGGACUCAAAGAUCUCAACUUGGAAGUUGACCCUACCCCCAUCCAACGUAGUCUCGGACUUAGCUGGGAUGUGAAGGGGGACACAUUCACCUUUCAUGUAACCGACAUUAAGAAGCCCUUUACUCGGAGAGGGAUACUGGCUACUGUCAACAGUCUCUUCGACCCACUUGGGUUCGUUGCCCCUGUCAUCAUUGAAGGGAAAUUCCUGCUACGAGAACUCUCAGGUGAGACUUGUGACUGGGAUUCUCCCCUCCCUGAAGACAAGGAAGAAGCAUGGAAUGCAUGGAGGAGAUCCCUACAAGAUCUAAAACAGCUGGAGAUUCCUAGAACAUAUGUUUAUACUGCUCUCUCUACAGCUCUGAGGAAGGAACUCCACAUUUUCUCUGAUGCUUCUGUCAAAGCGAUUGCAGCAGUGGCAUAUCUUCGUGUCAUCAAUGGCGAAGGAGCAUGCCACACUGGGUUCAUAUUGGGGAAGGCCAAAUUAGCUCCACAAGCUGCUCAUACCAUUCCCAGGCUGGAACUAGGAGCUGCGGUUUUAGCUGCAGAGAUAGCAGAGAUAAUCACAAACGAGCUGGACUUCACUUUAGAUGCUGUGGAGUUUUACACGGAUAGUAGAGUCGUCCUGGGGUACAUCUAUAACCAGACAAGACGGUUCUAUGUAUACGUAGCCAACAGAGUGCAGCGUAUCCAUAGAGUGUCAAACCCAAUGCAAUGGCACUAUGUGUCUACUAAGCAUAACCCUGCAGAUCAUGCCACCCGCUCCGUUCCUGCAGCUCUGUUGGGCACCACCACCUGGUUUACAGGACCUGCCUUCCUGUCGCAAAUGGAUCCGAAUCUGUCUCUGGAGGAGAGGGAAUUUGACCUCCUCGGGCCAGAGUUGGACACAGAAGUUCGCCCUCUUGCUACUACUGUAUCCGAUGAUUUUCAUCUUGAAUGUCAACGAUUCGAGCGAUUCUCUUCUUGGAGGUCAUUAGUCAGAGCCAUAGCUUUUCUCAUACAUGUCGCCCAGACUUACAAGUCGUCUGAUGAUAGAGAAAGAGCCUGCAGCUCAUGGCACUACUGUGCUAAGCCUCGUACAGUGAAAGAGUUGUUACAAGCAGAGGAAGUUGUAAUCAAGAGUAUUCAGAGGGAAGCUUACCAAGAAGAGCUCACCUGCAUCGCCAAAAAAGAUGACAUCCCGAGGCACAGUGCUCUGAAAAAACUGAACCCUUACGUAGAUAGUAGAGGUCUUCUCAGGAUAGGAGGUCGGCUUAAAAAUGCAACUUUGGAUCUCCAAGAGAAGUUUCCUUUGAUUGUUCCAGGACGCAGUCAUGCUGCGAAGCUACUUGUGGAGUAUUACCAUGAUCGAGUCAAGCAUCAGGGUCGUGUGUUUACUGAAUCAGCUAUCCGCAAUGCAGGGUAUUGGAUUGUUGGUGUUAGGAAGCUUAUCAACAGCAUUGUACACAAGUGCAUCAUAUGCAACAAGCUUCGUGGGAAGGUAACUGAGCAGAAGAUGGCGGACUUGCCCAUCGAUCGCCUGAGCACUGAACCUCCCUUCACGAACGUCGGUCUUGAUGUUUUUGGACCUUGGACAGUUGUCGCAAGGCGCACGCGAGGAGGACAAGCUCAGAGCAAAAGAUGGGCUGUUCUUUUCACUUGUAUGAGUAUUCGUGCCAUACAUAUUGAGCUGAUUGACAGUAUGGAUUCAUCCACCUUUAUAAACGCCUUGAGAAGGUUUUUUGCUCUACGAGGUCCUGUCAAACAAAUUCGGUCUGAUUGCGGGACCAAUUUUGUAGGAGCCUGUAAAGAGCUGGAAAUUGUGGUAAAUGAUCCUCAAGAGCCUAGUGUGAGGAAGUACCUGAGUGGAGAGGGUUGUUCAUGGGUCUUCAAUCCACCUCAUGCAUCCCACAUGGGAGGAGCCUGGGAGCGGAUGAUAGGAGUCUCCAGGCGCAUACUAGAUUCCAUGCUCCAACAGAUCAGUCCUUCCCGCUUGACACAUGAAGUGUUGUCCACCUUGAUGGCAGAGGUUACAGGAAUCGUUAAUUCAAGACCCCUUGUUCCUAUUUCAACAGACCCAGAUUCACCUUUCUUGUUAACGCCAGCCAUGCUCCUAACUCAAAAGGGUCAUACACUCCUCCCACCUCCAGGUGAUUUCAAGGAAACCAAUCUCCAUAGACAGCAAUGGAGAAGGGUGCAACAUCUUGCUAAUACUUUCUGGAAUAGAUGGAGGCGUGAAUACCUCUCAACGCUUCAAAGCCGAAGCAAAUGGCAAGAGGAACGACGAAAUCUAAGAGAGGGCGAUGUUGUCCUUCUUAAGGAUGCUCAAAGUAAGCGCAAUGAAUGGCCUAUGGCUCUUGUGACCAAGACUUUUCCUGGCAGUGACAAAAGAGUCAGAACGGUUGAACUAAGAGUUGCAAGGAAUGGGACAAUCAAGACAUUCCUCAGACCUAUAUCGGAAACAGUUCUGCUCAUGCCAACGGAGGACUGAUAUUUGUGAGGUCUUAUGUGAACAUUCUCAGGUUAUAUGGUGGUAUCUAAACAAUACCAGGCGGGGAGUGUCAUGACAUACAUUUGUUUUUUAUUUACUAGCACCAUCUUGUGGCAGUUUAAUGUUAUAACAAAGAAAUUGAUUAUUGUAAACCAUUUUCUUAGUGGUUGGUUUAGGUCAUGUGACUCUUGGGUUAGAGGUUAACCAGGAAAUAGCCACUGUAUUCUAGUUUUCUUUCUGUGUGGUGGGCCAACAAGUCAUCUCUCUGUUUUCUUUACAUUUUGUGCCUCAGAAAGGCUUUGCCUGUAAGUUUGUUAUCUUUUUUGCAGUGUUUGCAUGAAUGUGUAUAUAAAUAUUUGUAAUUCAUUAGUUUGAGUUUAAAAAACGAACUAUUCAACAGUGAUGGCAAUUUGUUUAUAAUUACACUAAGAAGAACUGAUUGUAGCCUUUUAAUAUGUGCUCAGAGAAUAUUUGUAAACAGCGGAAAUUCAUUUGUGUUUAUUUUGAGAAUAUUUUGUAACAAGACAUUUGUAAUCUUUGUAUAUUUCAGUUUUACAAAAAAGAGAAAGAAGAGGAAAGAACAAAACAGUAAAACUUUCAACUUUACUACUGCGUCUGCCCUUUUCUGACUCCUGUUAGCUAUCUGUCAAUGUUGCGUAGAUGGAACACGCAUCUAGGACAGAAUAUAUUAUGUAAUCAAAAACUUUUAUUUUGGAUGCGAUUAAUCAUGAUUAAUCGUUUGACAGCACUAAUAUACAUACAUAUAUUA
ensembl:lncRNA